UGCGCAGGCGGGCCUGUAAGUCAGGGGUGAAAUACCACGGCCUAACCGUGGAACUGCCUUUGAUACUGCAGGUCUUGAGUCCUGGAGAGGUCGCCGGAAUUCGUGGUGUAGCGGUGAAAUGCGUAGAUAUCACGAGGAACGCCGGAGGUGUAGACGGGUGACUGGACAGGAACUGACGCUCAGGCACGAAAGCGUGGGGAGCAAACAGGAUUAGAUACCCUGGUAGUCC
rnacentral:rRNA from 1 species